UACGUAGGGGGCGAGCGUUGUCCGGAUUUAUUGGGCGUAAAGAGCUCGUAGGCGGUUUGGUAAGUCGGGUGUGAAAUCUCCACGCUCAACGUGGAGGGGCCACUCGAUACUGCCAUGACUCGAGUCCGGUAGAGGAGUGUGGAAUUCCCGGUGUAGCGGUGAAAUGCGCAGAUAUCGGGAGGAACACCCGUAGCGAAGGCGGCACUCUGGGCCGAAACUGACGCUGAGGAGCGAAAGCGUGGGGAGCAAACAGG
rnacentral:rRNA from 1 species